UGAGGAAUAUUGGUCAAUGGUCUAACGACUGAACCAGCAAUUUGGAAGAACGUAUAAUAAAUAAAUUAUUUAAAGUUCUAGAUAAAAUAUUUAUAAUGACUAUUUUUUAUCUAUAAGUCUUGGCCAAAUUACGUGCCAUCAGUCGCGGUAAUACGUAAAAGACGAGUGUUAUUCAUCUUUAAUCGGUUUAAAGGGUACCUAGACGGAAAAUCAAGCUUAAUUAAACUAAGGACUAGUUUUCUAGAGUUUGACAUGAGAAGGUACGAACUAUCAAAGGAGAGAUAAAAUUUGUUGAUUCUGGUGGGACGGACAACGGCGAAGGCAAUCUUCUACUAAAAACUGACGUUGAGGGACGAAGCCUUGGGGAGCGAGAAGGAUUAGAUACCCUAGUAGUCCUUGGAGAAAAUUAUGAGUGCCAUAGACUAAAGUGAAAAAGAAGUUCUUUUAAAAGAACUUUGUAUCUGAGCCUUAAUUGGAUACGAAGGUCUCGAGUAGCACUUUAUAAAUGAAAGUGUAAGCAUUCCACCUCAUGACUAAAGCGGCGACGCCCAAAUUGAAAUCAUUAGACCGUUUCUGAAACCAGUAGUGAAGUAUGUUAUUUAAUUCGAUAACCC
rnacentral:rRNA from 1 species